rnacentral:lncRNA from 1 species
GAACGCCAUACUAAUUUCCAAAUUGUACACAAGAAACUAAAAUUAAAAUAAUACAAGACUAACAAAGGCCAGAGGCUCCUGACUUGGGACAGGCGCAAAAAUGCGGCGGGGUUAAACAUGUUUGUGAGAUCUCAAUCCUCCCCCUAUACCUCUAGCCAAUGUAGAAAAGUAAACGCAUAACAAUACGCACAUUAAAAUUCAGUCCAAGAGAAGUCCGAGUCUGAUGUCAGAAGAUGUAACCAAAGAAAAUAAACAAAAUGACAAUAAUACAUAAAUAACAACAGACUACUAGCAGUUAACUGACAUGCCAGC